UACGGAGGGGGCGAGCGUUAUUCGGAAUUAUUGGGCGUAAAGGGCGCGUAGGCGGCUUGACAAGUCAAAGGUGAAAUCCCUCGGCUCAACUGAGGAACUGCCUUUGAAACUGUCAGGCUUGAGGCCGGGAGGGGGUAGCGGAAUUCCCAGUGUAGCGGUGAAAUGCGUAGAUAUUGGGAGGAACACCAGUGGCGAAGGCGGCUACCUGGACCGGUACUGACGCUGAGGCACGAAAGCGUGGGGAGCAAACAGG
rnacentral:rRNA from 1 species